AUUGAACGCUGGCGGAAUGCUUUACACAUGCAAGUCGAACGGCAGCACGGGGCAACCUGGUGGCGAGUGGCGAACGGGUGAGUAAUACAUCGGAACGUGCCCAAUCGUGGGGGAUAACGUAGCGAAAGCUACGCUAAUACCGCAUACGAUCUACGGAUGAAAGCGGGGGAUCGCAAGACCUCGCGCGAAUGGAGCGGCCGAUGGCAGAUUAGGUAGUUGGUGGGGUAAAGGCUCACCAAGCCUGCGAUCUGUAGCUGGUCUGAGAGGACGACCAGCCACACUGGAACUGAGACACGGUCCAGACUCCUACGGGAGGCAGCAGUGGGGAAUUUUGGACAAUGGGCGCAAGCCUGAUCCAGCAAUGCCGCGUGCAGGAAGAAGGCCUUCGGGUUGUAAACUGCUUUUGUACGGAACGAAAGCGCUGGGGUUAAUACCCCGGCUUCUGACGUUACCCACAGAAGAAGCACCGGCUAACUCCGUGCCAGCAGCCGCGGUAAU
rnacentral:rRNA from 1 species